rnacentral:tRNA from 1 species
GCAUCAGUAGUGUAGUGGUUAUCAUUUUAGACUUCCAAUCUGGAGACAGGGGUUCGAUUCCCCUCUGAUGCA